UGUUUCGGCUAGGGGGUCAUCCCGACUUACCAACCCGAUGCAAACUACGAAUACCGAAGAAUGUUAUCACGGGAGACACACGGCGGGUGCUAACGUCCGUCGUGAAGAGGGAAACAACCCAGACCGCCAGCUAAGGUCCCAAAGUCAUGGUUAAGUGGGAAACGAUGUGGGAAGGCACAGACAGCCAGGAUGUUGGCUUAGAAGCAGCCAUCAUUUAAAGAAAGCGUAAUAGCUCACUGGUCGAGUCGGCCUGCGCGGAAGAUGUAACGGGGCUAAACCAUGCACCGAAGCUGCGGC
rnacentral:rRNA from 1 species